ensembl:snoRNA
GCACCUCAUAGCAACCCUGUCGAUCCUGUGAAGUGUUUUGAUACGGGACAUUGUUGGUGCCACAGAGAGUCAACGUAAAUCCAGAUGGACCUCCUCUUCUCGUGGAGCCUGUCUCUACAACUUUGAUACACAA